rnacentral:rRNA from 1 species
GACGAACGCUGGCGGCGUGCUUAACACAUGCAAGUCGAACGGAAAGGCCCUGCUUUUGUGGGGUGCUCGAGUGGCGAACGGGUGAGUAACACGUGAGUAACCUGCCCUUGACUUUGGGAUAACUUCAGGAAACUGGGGCUAAUACCGGAUAGGAGCUCCUGCUGCAUGGUGGGGGUUGGAAAGUUUCGGCGGUUGGGGAUGGACUCGCGGCUUAUCAGCUUGUUGGUGGGGUAGUGGCUUACCAAGGCUUUGACGGGUAGCCGGCCUGAGAGGGUGACCGGGCCACAGUGGGACUGGGUUCCGGCCAAGCCUCCUCCGGAGGCAGCAGUGGGGAAUAUUGCACAAUGGGCGGAAGCCUGAUGCAGCAACGCCGCGUGCGGGAUGACGGCCUUCGGGUUGUAAACCGCUUUCGCCUGUGACGAAGCGUGAGUGACGGUAAUGGGUAAAGAAACACCGGCUAACUACGU